CCUACGGGAGGCAGCAGUGAGGAAUUUUCUGCAAUGGGCGAAAGCCUGACAGAGCAAUACCGCGUGAGGGAAGAAGGCUUACUGAGUUGUAAACCUCGGUGCCUUAAGGAAGAAGAUCUGACGGUACUUAAGGUGGAAAGCAUCGGCUAACCCCGUGCCAGCAGCCGCGGUAAGACGGGGGAUGCAAGUGUUAUCCGGAAUUACUGGGCGUAAAGCGUCUGCAGGUGGUUUCUUAAGUCCACUGUUAAACCUUGAGGCUCAACCUCAAAUCUGCAGUGGAAACUAGGGAACUUGAGGAUAGUAGGGGUAGAGGGAAUUUCCAGUGGAGCGGUGAAAUGCGUAGAUAUUGGAAAGAACACCGAUGGCGAAGGCACUCUACUGGGCUAUGACUGACACUCAGAGACGAAAGCUAGGGGAGCAAAUGGGAUUAGAUACCCCAGUAGUCCUAGCCGUAAACGAUGGAUACUCGAUGUUGGACGUAUCGACCCGUUCAGUAUCUUAGCUAACGCGUUAAGUAUCCCGCCUGGGGGUAGGUACGUCGUCGCAGAGUAGAACUACAAAGAAGUUAGACGGCGUGAGACGUGCCGACGGACGACGACCGAGGGAGGUAGG
rnacentral:rRNA from 1 species